CCUACGGGGGGCUGCAGUGGGGAAUAUUGGACAAUGGGCGAAAGCCUGAUCCAGCCAUGCCGCGUGUGUGAAGAAGGCCUUCGGGUUGUAAAGCACUUUCAGUGGGGAAGAAAGCCUUGGGGCUAAUACCCUCGAGGAAGGACAUCACCCACAGAAGAAGCACCGGCUAACUCCGUGCCAGUAGCCGCGGUAAUACGGAGGGUGCGAGCGUUAAUCGGAAUUACUGGGCGUAAAGCGCGCGUAGGCGGUCUGAUAAGCCGGUUGUGAAAGCCCCGGGCUCAACCUGGGAACGGCAUCCGGAACUGUCAGGCUAGAGUGCAGGAGAGGAAGGUAGAAUUCCCGGUGUAGCGGUGAAAUACGUAGAGAUCGGGAGGAAUACCAGUGGCGAAGGCGGCCUUCUGGACUGACACUGACGCUGAGGUGCGAAAGCGUGGGUAGCAAACAGGAUUAGAUACCCUAGUAGUC
rnacentral:rRNA from 1 species